UAAGAUGGUUUGACCUCGGAUCAGGUAGGGUUACCCGCUGAACUUAAGCAUAUCAAUAAGCGGAGGAAAAAAAACCAACCA
rnacentral:rRNA from 1 species